CUUUCGGAGCUGUGCGGCAUUCUGAGCAGGAAUGGCAAUGUGGACCUCUGUGAUGGGACAUCUUGUGGGAUCUCACAGCCAGUUCUGUGGCAAAGGAGGAUGAAGGUUUAUGAGGACUCGUCAGGAAGCUGGAUAACAGAACGAGCGCAAUGUAAGUAAUUUUGUGUGUGCAUGUGGUCCCAUUACAAGGAAUACCCAAUGGCAAAUGAGCACUAAAGAUCCCUCAACCCACACAUUGAAUGUAUUGUUCCCUGAGAGCAAUUGUAGAUAGAGGAGUGGGUGGGAAGUCUGAAGUCAGGGCAUUGUUUCUGCGUAUCUGAGUAGGCUGGUUUUUGAUAUUUGUGGGAGCUAGUGGUCGUUAACUCAUUUACCCCCUAUUUGGUGGACUCUGGUUCCCCCAUCUUAAGUGCUGAGUCAGGGGCCUAACCGGGCAGCUUUAACUAUUUGUUUGUUGUAGGUGCUAGAAGACCAGAAAAUGAAAUGGUGGAGUUUGAGGCUGGAUAGACAGUUUGAAAGGUACAAAUGAUGGUUUGAAUAAAGGUAUAACGCACGGGUCGCCUCAAGUGAAGGCACUGCAAACAAAAUGAUUGGUCAUUCUGAAUUUCCGGUCCUUCAUUCUGAAUUUCAAAGGCUCCUGUGACAAGUGGACAUGCAGUGACUGUACCUUUGUUUCUGAGGUGCCUGGAUGGAGGCUCAAAUAGAAGAUGGUGUCAGAUAUAUUGUGUUGUCAAAAUUUUACCAUUAAAGUGUAUUAUAAC
ensembl:processed_transcript Gas5 growth arrest specific 5